AUUGCUUCUCAGACUUUUGGCUAUUAUCAAGUAUAUUAUUUGUUCUUAUCAACUUAAUAUGUGAUACAUAUUCUCUCUGAGGAGAAAAUAUCAAAUGUAUUUUUAAAAGUGAAAAACUUCUC
rfam:Dipodomys ordii contig_68663, whole genome shotgun sequence.